rnacentral:rRNA from 1 species
UACGGAGGGAGCUAGCGUUGUUCGGAAUUACUGGGCGUAAAGCGCGCGUAGGCGGCUUUGUAAGUUAGAGGUGAAAGCCCGGAGCUCAACUCCGGAACUGCCUUUAAGACUGCAUCGCUUGAAUCCGGGAGAGGUGAGUGGAAUUCCGAGUGUAGAGGUGAAAUUCGUAGAUAUUCGGAAGAACACCAGUGGCGAAGGCGGCUCACUGGACCGGCAUUGACGCGUGAGGUGCGAAAGCUAGGGGAGCAAACGGG